AAUGAGACAUCAGGAAUAGUC
rnacentral:tRNA from 1 species